AACUGCGCCCUUAAUUUUUUUUUGCGUUUGUGCUCCCUCCGCAUAUAAUUGUUUGUCAGAAACAUGCUCUACCAUGCGAUGGGCUAUGUGCUUUAGCACUCCCCUCCCCCUUGUUUCUGGGCUUUCAAAAUGCUGGUUAGAGAGGCAGCUGGGAGGAGACAUUUUGUGGAGAAUUGGCUGUUCGGCGGCGGCAGGAAUUGAGUGUGCUGACCAUAACCCUCUUUUUCUCACUGCUGAUGUCAUUAGUGGACUAUGCACAAAAUGUCUGCUUUUCAAGAUGCCUUUGGCAAGUAAUUUAGAAAGCAUCUACUUUGCAUCUGCACAGUAUAACUACAGGCAAACAGGAAGAUCUUGGAGCUGUGGUCAAUCCAGGUAAGACAUGCUUGACGAUCUGAUGAAGGAAAAUGCUACAUUACUCACCUCAGGAAUGAACUGAAUGGACUCAACAAAGUUAUCCAAUGACACCUCCCAGAUAGCAAGUUUUACUGCAAUCAAGAUAAAAUUAGAAACUUUUAAAAUCACCAAAGAUUUUAAUAACUUGGAUGAAAUAUUCUAAAUGCCUGGACUCUGCAGGAAAGAGUGGAAGUAGGACAGCACUCCUGAGAAACAUCAGCAUUCACUCUAUUCCUCCAAAGCACAAGUAUAGAAACAGCACCUUAUAAGACAGGUCACAAAUCAGAGCAGUCAUACUAGAAUAUCCAGCACUUCCACAUUUGCUUAAGGGAAAUGUUUUGGGAUUCUAUUAUUACAGGACAUAGAUUUAAACACUCCCCUUUCCUUGCCCUUGUGAAGUUACUGAGCAAAUAGCAGCAGAUAGGAAUGGGCUGCAAGUUCAGUGCCAUUAUUUCCAGGGCCCUACUAUGUUGUCUUUGGUUUUACAGUUUUUAGCUAUGCAUCAAUACCAGCUCAUACUUGCUAUGGGAUGGUUAAUAUCAAGGUCGAAUUGUCUGAACUCUAAUGCUCUAGCUAUAUCUACAUUAAUUUACAUGUUGACUAAAUGGUACUAAAGAAUUCAUAGAGACUGUUUAAUACAAGAAACAAUUCUGUUCUAGGCUUUUGGGUUUUCACCAAACAUUGAAAAUACCUUAAUCAAGCAAAAUAUUGUUCAUUCUGAAAACCUGAAAUGCAAACAGAAAAUGCUGGAAAUACCAAGUUGGGGCACAUUCUACGGAGAGAGAAACAGAAGUAAUGUUCCACGUCUGAUCUGAUGUAAGGACUUAAAACUUGAAAUGUUAAUUUUGUUUCUCAGAUGUUGCCUAAUCUGUUAAGUAUUUCCAGCAUUUUCUGUUUGUAUUUAAAACAAUACAGCUCUUACUCUGCAAUCCGGUAAUUAAUUUCCUCAUUUUCCCAAUGAACCAAAGCGAUUUCAUAAGGUUGGAUCUCAUGUGGUUCCAAGAUUUGCAUUACACGUUUCACCUAAAGGCAGAGAAUUUGGAGACUGUUUUAAAUGACAGACAAGAAAUAUAAUUCAUGGAUAAUAAAAUGUGAGGCUGGAUGAACACAGCAGGCCAAGCAGCAUCUCAGGAGCACAAAAGCUGACGUUUCGGGCCUAGACCCUUCAUCAGAAUUCAUGGUUUGUUUCAGAAGCAAGUUUCGCAAAACAUAACUUGCAAGAAAAUUAGAAAUCAAACUUAAUACAAAUUCUCAUUAUUUCAACCUGCGUGAUUCAACAUUUUUCUUAAUGAGCAUAACUUUAAUGCUGACAUUAACCCAAUAAUUUAAUGUCCCCAUUAAAGUUAAGCAAUAAGUACC